CGCCCGAUAGCGCCGAGCUCCAUCCGUCGACGCGGGGACCACAAACCACCUGGAUGGAGGCGGGGGACCCACCGGUCCACCGAAGGACCCGGGGCUGCCAGCGGCCCCUUGGGGUGAAGCCGAGAUCGGGCAACCGAGACCGGCCGGGUGACCUCUCCCACCCGAACCCGACAGCUGACCUCGCGGGCGCCGACGAGAGGACCU
rnacentral:sRNA from 2 species